rnacentral:rRNA from 1 species
AACGAACGCUGGCGGCAUGCCUAACACAUGCAAGUCGAACGAGACCUUCGGGUCUAGUGGCGCACGGGUGCGUAACGCGUGGGAACCUGCCUUUAGGUUCGGAAUAACUCAGAGAAAUUUGAGCUAAUACCGGAUGAUGUCUUCGGACCAAAGAUUUAUCGCCUUUAGAUGGGCCCGCGUUGGAUUAGCUAGUUGGUGGGGUAAAGGCCUACCAAGGCGACGAUCCAUAGCUGGUCUGAGAGGAUGAUCAGCCACACUGGGGCUGAGACACGGCCCAGACUCCUACGGGAGGCAGCAGUGGGGAAUAUUGGACAAUGGGCGGAAGCCUGAUCCAGCAAUGCCGGGUGAGUGAUGAAGGUCUGAGGGUAGUAAAGCUCUUUUACCCGAGAUGAUAAUGACAGUAUCGGGAGAAUAAGCUCCGGCUAACUCCGUG